CGCGGAAUGGAGCAGUUCGGUAGCUCGUCGGGCUCAUAACCCGAAGGCCGUAGGUUCAAAUCCUACUUCCGCAACCA
rnacentral:tRNA from 1 species